AGCGGAAAAAGGGACUUGA
rnacentral:tRNA from 2 species